rnacentral:lncRNA from 1 species
GAACCGGAGAGAGACCCUCGUCGGAGAAACUCGGUCUUUCCGGCCAUAUACCCGUAUCCAGAACUCCGACGAUGACAUCAUCAGCGUAAUCGGAGUUGGGCCAAAGACCGAAAGAGUCAGCAAGUCCCAAGAAGGUAGGGGUAUGGGUGGUGUGGAGGUGGCGUACUUCGUCGGGAAGGACGGAGAUUACACCUGGAAUACGGCGGAGCUGAUCAGCCUGAGCGGCUGUGAGGUGCGCGGAGAAGCCCACGGCGGCACGUUUAUAGGUGUAGAGGAUUUUAGAAGGGUGUUGAGAAACGGAUCGGAUGAUGGAGGAGUACCAAUGGUGGUGGGUGGUGAAAACACGGGGCUUAUCGGAUUUGGAAACGUGAAUGAUGAAAGUUUCAUGACCGUCGGAUUGGACGGAAAUGGUC